rnacentral:rRNA from 1 species
UACGAAGGGGGCUAGCGUUGUUCGGAAUUACUGGGCGUAAAGCGCACGUAGGCGGACUAUUAAGUCAGGGGUGAAAUCCCGGGGCUCAACCCCGGAACUGCCUUUGAUACUGGUAGUCUCGAGUCCGGAAGAGGUGAGUGGAAUUCCGAGUGUAGAGGUGAAAUUCAUAGAUAUUCGGAGGAACACCAGUGGCGAAGGCGGCUCACUGGACUGGUAUUGACGCUGAGGUGCGAAAGCGUGGGGAGCAAACAGG